CACCCCCCCACACACCCCCCAUGCCCGCUGGGGCUGUGGGCGACACCAUGGCUGCUCUGGGCUGGGCCAGUUGGGCCAUUGCCUGGGGACUGAGGGCA